UACGUAGGGAGCAAGCGUUGUUCGGAUUUACUGGGCGUAAAGGGCGCGUAGGCGGCAAUUCAAGUCAGCUGUGAAAUCUCCGGGCUUAACUCGGAACGGUCAACUGAUACUGCUCGACUAGAGUGCGGAAGGGGCAACUGGAAUUCUUGGUGUAGCGGUGAAAUGCGUAGAUAUCAAGAGGAACACCUGCGGCGAAGGCGGGUUGCUGGGCCGACACUGACGCUGAGGCGCGAAAGCUAGGGGAGCGAACGGG
rnacentral:rRNA from 1 species